AAUUAUUGUAUAACGCGGUCUCGAUGUGAAACGCGCUCCAUACACCAGCAAUAGUCUAACUAGUAUAAAUUCAUUAGUGAUACUAAAUACAAACUUAUUAUUUAAGGUUGUCUCACCGAGAGACGGUUAAUCGCAAUAAUUGCCACAUAAGAUUAUCUAUUUCUAUCACAAUGGUGUUUUAGUAAAUCUUACACAAUCUAGUGACUUAUGGCUUAAAAUUCAUUUCGAUUCCGUGGUUAGUUUACUUUAAGGGGGUGUUUGGUAUAGUUUUUUUGGGCCUAAGUAAUGGAUUCAUUUAAUCCAAUCCAUUACUAAUUGUUUGUUAUGUGAUAUGGAUAAUCCAAUCCGUUACCAAAUGGAAAUGGAUUACCUUACUUUAUUACUGCUCAUUUCAUUCCUCAAUCAAUAUCUGUUACUCUAUGUCUUCUCAAAUACGGUGCAUUUCUGCGUUCUUCAACAUAGUUCUUCCAUUUCUGAGAUAAAACGAUAAGUGUUUAAUAGGUGAUCCUUAUUAGCCUUCAUGCUGAAGUCUAGUCGGUGAAACAACCGGUCAUAUCAGAAUUUGGGAGCUUCUAAAGCCUAAGCUGCCCUGAAUCCUGACAGAGGUGAAUUUCUGAUCCUAUUAUUUGGGAGCAUGUUCUACUGCUGAAGAACACAAGCUUCGCAUCUUUUAUCAAGCUCAUUCGAACCUUAAGAAACAAUAUGUGCUCGAUCUUCUUAAGAAAAUAUGAAAGCGGUCUUCUAAAAAGACAUGAGUUGAGAUGUUGUUAUUAGUGGUUGAACUUGUAGUAUGUGCUUGCAGAUUAUUAGUUGAAUACUUGCAUAAUAGUAUUGCAAAUUGCUAUGUUUUAUCUUAUUUAGGCUUGAACUAUGUUGAGUUUUAUCAAAGAAAUCUUGUUUUAAUGUUUGCUUAAGUUAAUUUUUGUACAAAAA